rnacentral:rRNA from 1 species
ACAUGUGGAGCGCUUAGAAGUGAGAAUGCCGGUGUGAGUAGCGAAAGACGGGUGAGAAUCCCGUCCACCGAUUGACUAAGGUUUCCAGAGGAAGGCUCGUCCGCUCUGGGUUAGUCGGGUCCUAAGCUGAGGCCGACAGGCGUAGGCGAUGGAUAACAGGUUGAUAUUCCUGUACCACCUAUAAUCGUUUUAAUCGAUGGGGGG